rnacentral:rRNA from 1 species
AUUGAACGCUGGCGGCAUGCUUUACACAUGCAAGUCGAACGGUAACAGGCCGCAAGGUGCUGACGAGUGGCGAACAGGUGGGUAAUGCAUCGGAACGUGCCCAGUCGUGGGGGAUAACGCAGCGAAAGCUGCGCUAAUACCGCAUACGAUCUCUGGAUGAAAGCGGGGGACCGAAAGGCCUCGCGCGAUUGGAGCGGCCGAUGUCAGAUUAGGUAGUUGGUGGGGUAAAGGCCCACCAAGCCAACGAUCUGUAGCUGGUCUGAGAGGACGACCAGCCACACUGGGACUGAGACACGGCCCAGACUCCUACGGGAGGCAGCAGUGGGGAAUUUUGGACAAUGGGCGCAAGCCUGAUCCAGCAAUGCCGCGUGCAGGAAGAAGGCCUUCGGGUUGUAAACUGCUUUUGUACGGAACGAAACGGUCCGGGUUAAUACCCUGGGCUAAUGACGGUACCGUAAGAAUAAGCACCGGCUAACUACGUGCCAGCCGCCGCCGUAACAC